AGAGAAUGUCUCCUUUCCAAAUUGGAGCAGCCGCUGCUACUCCCUCUAAAAGAGCUCAACGGCAGAGACAGACUGAGCGCACUGCUGUGCCUUUUCUCCAGACGUCUAAAUCCUGGGCGCCUUCGAAGGAGACCAGACUUCACCUUGGGGACAACUUUGGGGGUUGCCAAAAAGUACCCAGAACAUGAGAUUUCCCCUCUGCAGAGCCAGGAGGACGCGCCAGCGGUCUGUCGGUCAGACACACGUGGUAAACCGCUCUCGGGCGCUCAGGAAACUGUGUGGGGACAACAGAUAGAAGACAGAAGGCGUUCGUUGGACGGCGAGGAAGUUGUCUGACAUCCAGGAAGCAGGCAGAUGCCCGGUCAGGAAGGCAAGAGGAGUGGCAAGGAGACGUGCGGCCGACAGCAGCCCUGCAUGGGGACAGAGCAGGGAGGAGGCCUGAGGUUCAGCUGCGCGAAGCGAGGCCUGCCAGACCCUAACGGACGGGAGCCGGGCCUCCUUGGGGACCGCGAGCUCAGGAAAGAUGGCACGUUCGUGUCUGCAGUGCUUUGGAGAGGCAGACGCAUUCAUCCAGUCAAUCAACAAACACCGCUGCCGACUGCUCAGCGGGCACCCGAGCAGGAGGCGGGACUGAACUGUGACCCGCUCUCAUCAAAGCCUCCCUCAGGGUCCCAGGGCUGCGAACAUCAGGGCGCCCAGGCCUGUCCUCCGGGCACUUCAGGAACAUUGAGGCUCUUAGUCUGUUUGCUUGGCUCUAACGGACGACGCGGCGGGGGCUUAGACGACAAGUGUGUUCCUCACAGUUCCGGGCGCUGGACGUGCACGGCCGACAGGCCAGCGCGGGGUCCGAGGAGGGCCCUCUUCCGGUUCACAGACGGCGAGUCCCGCCUGGAGGAAGGGUGCGGGCUCCCCGGCUCUCUACACGGGCGCCGAGCCCGUCCGGGGCUCCACCCUCAGGGCUCCUCGCCUGCUGCCACCAUCGCACAGGAGUCAGGGUCCCUCCCAUGCAUCUGGGGACACCCGGGCCGCGCAGGCAGCUCUGCUGUGUGCGCUCACCGCCUCUCUGACACCCACAGGUGUCGCGUUCGGUGACCAGGCUGGGCGCCGCCCGGCGACUCCUGCCGAAUGGGGCCAGGGACGGAAGCAGAGCGACCCCAGCAGCGCACAGCCCGAGGUGGUGUCGGAAGCGCUCGGAACCUGACCUUCUACCACCGCGUUUUCACCUGCUCGCAUCCGGAACCGGGGAUGCUCCUGACGCGGGCGCAGGAAGAGGCCUCGGAGGCGGGCAGGUGUUUAAAGAUGACGUCGCAGGAGGUUCUGCCGGGCUGUGGGCUGAGGGGGUGUGUGUCCCUGUGACCCCGCGAAAUCAGUGUGCUUCAGCACCAGGGAGGUCCCGCCGAGCCUCCAGCCCUGUCCUGAACCCCAGUUCAGUCCAUGAGCUCAAGACCCAGCACACGAGAUGCUACAUGUCUGCAAGACGUAGACGCUUCCUAGUCCACGGCCUGCGCUUGAGGGAGGGGCAGUUUUCAGAUGUCCUGCAAAUACGGAGCAUCUCUGGGGGACAGUGUGCAGGGCCAGCCCCUCAGAGCAGCCACCAGGUCUACCUCUUACCCCGCCCCCCAGCCCACCUCGCCUGCCUCCGCUGCCCAGCGUAUGUAUCAGCUGGCUUGUCCUCAGCCAGCACCACGCCUGCCCCGGGGCGUGAACCGCAGAGACGCAGCCUUCUUCGUCCUCCGCAUCUCCAACAACUGCAGCAGGUCUUGGCCUGUGGCAGGACUCCGGUAACUACUGCUGAGCGGAUGCAUGAAUAUUCACAUUGAUGACAGUGGGAGAGAACAAACGAGCAGCAAAACCUAAGAAACUAAGUUAAUUUUCACUUGGAAUUCUUGAAAUUUGACUUUUUAGGGUCUAUAUUCUGUUACAAUGUUGAGAACGUUGCAAAGGAUAAAUCCUGGAUGUCAGUAACCCUUAAUCCGAAAGGUGACCCUUCCCUGAAAGGCUCUCAGGCCAAGGCGGCAGAGGUGACACUUUCAGGCGCACCCCCCGCCCCCACCUCCAGGCUCUGCUCAUCUCAGAAAGACACGCGAGCACAGUCUGGAAGCCAAACUCAAAACUUCUCCUGACGACGUAAGGAGACACUCACCAACAGGAGAGCUUCCAGAAGCUUCCCCAGGCCACUCGGCCUUAGAAACUCCCACCCUGAGGGCCCUGAGACUUCCGGGACAUUGCUGGACCUGUGACCGCAAGCAGGUGCUAAUGGCCCUGUGACCAUGAAGCCACCAGAAAGCUGCUGGCAGGUGACGGACCCUCGUCUGGGUCCUGGGUGAAGACUCGCUGUGUGUCACAGUGGUGGGUUCUCACGUUUGCUGCGUGUAGAAAUCCAGCCGCCUCACUGAGGUGCACCAGGGUUAUGGGUUGGUUCUGGUGGGAAACGCUUUGUGGGGGAGGAAGAGUGGAAAGGUGACCACGGGAAGCCUCUGAGCAUGGCUGGUGCUCUGUGUGUCUCGUUAUUGUCCCAUGUCCCCCCCAGAGCAACACCUGAUGAAGGGCUUGGGGAGGCCCAGGGUGCGUUUGUAAGCAGCGCCCCCGCGGAUGCGAUUGACGGGUGGGGUCAGACGAGGGGAGCCACCACCCCUGAGUCCUCUCUGGGUUUCCACAAAGCAGCGCCCGUGGCAAAACAGGAAGCAGGGAAGAUGAAGGCGGGCGAGGGGAGCCAGCGCCCUUCCCCCCGAAAGGCAGCCGAACAACGGCCCCCAGGACCUCAUGGUCUGCGCAGUUGGUAGGAGGCGAUCCGGGGAACGGACACGGGAACAGAAACGGGCCAACCCCAGCCGGCAGCGAGGGGCCGCCGUUACAGGCAUGGUGUUCAGCAGGGGUGUGGCCCGUCCACAGUGCACUCAGCGGCCAGGUUUGCUGGGGCUGGUGCAGGAGCACUGAGCCCGCUGUAAGGGUCUCCCACCCCCACCCUGUGUCCCAGGCCGCAACGUGGAGGGACCACGGCCCAGCCACCCCGCCAAAGCUCCCAGAACAAUUGUCUGCCCUCCUGAGGCGGGAGAGGGCCUCAGGGCUGCUGCUGUGACCCUGGUAGUGACUCUCUAGGGUAGACCCUGGAAGUUUCCAGAACAACAGAAAGUCAGGGGUGCCAUCAUGGAGUCACUUCCCUGGGGGAGUGGUCUGCUGUGUGGCUGUCACAGAUGACCGUGGCCCUGAGUCACGGCAGCCGGAGAUCAGAACUCCGACGUCUGCCCGAGGGCUCCCCUGCCCGAUGGCUGCUCCUGGAUCCCCCAGGCGUCCGUGCAGCCUCCACCCCGCCAGACACUGCCCUCGGUCAGGGUCCCGGGUUGCCCAUGGGUGCAGGAAGGACUGGGCAGCAUUGGUUGUCUCCUCUCCCUCUGAGUGAGCUUCUCUGCCCGCCUGCAGCUCUCCUGUCCCCUGCAGAGCGCCAGGCGCUGUUUCCUUCAGGGAAGCAGGCUUUACAGUCCCAGGGUCAUCGUUGGGCACGUGGAGGUAGACACUCGCGAGCCUAACCCUUCAGGGUUCCUCCACGUAGCGUCACACCCACACCUCCGGCUGGCCCGUCCUCUCACUGUGGAGUCAGCUCCUUACCCAUCAUGAUGGGAUUUAUGAGGCGCGUGUUUUCAGGAACAGGGCUCCCUCCCCCGGCUCCGGAGCACGCGGCACAGCCCUGCUGACGCCCAGAUCACCUGAUAUAACUGACAACCGUUAGGGUGAUGGGUGGCGGUUGCCAUGACGACCAUUUAGCCCUGAUCAGAGAGCAUCCCAGACAACAGGGCCAGCCCCCUGCACAGGUGGUAAAGCCAGCCUACAGCAGGGCCCUCGAGCUCAAGGCCGAGCGGGAGGUUAGGCGGUCAGGGUGAUGAGGACAGAAGCCGAGUUCCUGGAGAGGACGAAGGCAUGAUGCCGCUGCUCAGUCAGCCUGGAUGGUCGUGACUUCUCGGUACCUGGACUCAGUUGAAAUAAAGUCCUUUCCUCUCAGCUCCGUCGGGUUGUGGGGUCGGGGUGCAAUGACACCUAUGUGGUCCCAUCCCCGUUCCUGGCACUGAGCUCCCAACCCUGGGGGUACUUGGGCGAUGGAGGUGGGGGGGCCAUGUUUGCUUGUCAUGGCAGCCCCUCCCACCCACAUCUGGGUUUAUACUAAUGGGGCGACUUUGCAGAAGCCCUAAAGAUGGGAGCCGUCUGCCAGUGGAGCCACAGCCACGUGACUAGAGGGUUGGACCUUCUCCGAGGUCCAGGGGAGGGUGAGCUGGUCACCAGUGGCCAGUGAUUUAACGGCUGCCUAAUGAAGCCUCUGCAGAAAACCCUCACCAAGGGGCCGAGAGCUUCCAGGUCAGAAUUUGGAGGUGCCGGGGCGAGGCGGGUAUUGCCCCUGGAGGACUCAUCUCUGCCCCUGCCCCGCCCUCUGCAUCUCUUCCACCCUGUUGUUUCUGAGUUGUGUCUUUUAUAAGGAACAGUCAGCACUCUUCUGUCCAGCCAGUCGGUCAGAAGCACAGUGACGCUUGGGACUUGGGUGGUGUCUUGAGGCAAUAGUUGUGCAGGUUGAGCCCUUAUCUGUGUGGUCUGCACCAGCUGCAGGGGGAAAGUGUAAGUGAAUUAAUUCAUAGACCCCCCAGUCACGUCUCAGAGAACUGCAGAGUUGCUUGCAUGGGAACCCACUCGGCUGGUUUAGAAAGUGUGUCUACACCAGCACUGGGCCACUGGAGAACAAAGUCUGCAGGGACCUUGGGGACCAGGGCCUCGGGGUUGAGGGCCCCGGCCCAAGACAGAGAGAGGAGACCUUCCCCCUCAGUGCCCCCAGCUCCACCCUGGUCCUUUGCGGCUCCUCUGCCCCUCCAGUCUGACCCCCACUGACCACCCACUUAAACUAGCUACUUCAGGGAUAUCGAACAUCUGUGAGGGUUAGGUCUGGCUGAAUGUAACACAUGGGCAGAAAAAAAGGAAAAACCAUACAUGACUUAAACGAAAUGGAAAGUUGGUCCCUUCACUGAGCUAAGUCCAGUGGCAGAGGGUCGGGACAGAGUUGAUGGCUGCCUCGGCAGGGCCCUCUUGCUCCUCUGCCAUUUUUUUGACUUUGGCCUCAUGGCUGAAAAAGGCUGCUGUGACACCAGCCAUCACUUCCACACACCACAGGCAGGAAUAAGGAGGUGGGGGGGGGCUUUCACUCUCUCCUCUGAAGCCAUUGCACCCACUGGUUCGGGUUGAGUCCCAGGCUGUACCUGGCCACAGGGAGGGUGGGGAGUCCUGUCUUUGCUGGGGCAGAACGGGCCACACUACACAAUUGGAGUUCUUUUACCCGGGGGAAGGGGCGUGCAUUCUGUACAGCAACAAGUGUCCUGUGUCUCCCUCCUAACUAGUAAUUAGCACCUCGCUUGCACACACACCAGACUAGUGCCACAUUACGCACUUCCCCGAGUCUCCCCCCAGCUGUGAUUGGCACCUCGCAUGCACAUGCACAGUGAUGCUGCAGUGCACACUUCACGCCCACCCGUGUGCCUAGUCCUCAUCUCAGCCCAGGCGGGAGGUCAGCUUAGUUUAGGUAACCAGCCAGGGUUACCAGCAAGCUGCCGGUGUGCAGAAGACUUGAACUAGCGUGUCUCACCCCGCUUCUCGCACCUGUUCUGGAGCGGGUCCGAGGACAGACCUGGAGCAGCGCAGAGGGCCCCCGGCCAUCUCCUCCCGGCUGAGCCUGCCAGGGGUGAGACAGCCCAGGAAUAUCCAUGUGCUGUGGGCUCCGCCAAAAUAAAUAA
rnacentral:lncRNA from 1 species